UCUAAACCUUUGAAAAAUGAAAGAAAUGAAAGUAUGGAGAGCAAGGGAAAGGGGACAAUUUACAGAAGUUUGGAACCGUUAGAUUCGCGACAAGUAACGAAAUCCAGUGAAGAAAGAAGAGAAAAAGAUUCUUGGCACGAAAAAUGAGAGAGGAUGACCUCUUCCACUGGUGGCGGCGGUGCCCCACCCAAGGCAGUGGCGGUGCAUUACCCGAGGUGGCAGGGGCUAGCUUGCGCGCACGCAGGCUCCAAGCACACAGGGCCUAUCUGCGUAGGCCUGCUACGUGGACAACGCGUGCACAGUGU
rnacentral:lncRNA from 1 species